ACUUGUGGACCUCCCUUGAGGGAUUAGAUUGAGUUUGUUGUUGUGGUAAUCUUAAAAAUGUCAUCACAUUUGUGUGGCGGUAAAGUCAUCACAUUUGUGUGGCGGUAAAAGUUUGUCAUUACGGGUAAAAUUAGCUUCCAAAUUAAGGGUCAUUUUUUUAGAUGGACUAAAAAGGAAAUAUGGUCAUAUAAGUUGGAAUGGAGGGAGUACAUAGUUUCAUAUGACAUAAAUUAUCAACAUGUAUACAUACUCUUUUUGCUCUUUUGAUGUGAAUUCAAGUCAAACUUAUCAUGAAUAAUAAGCCAUGGAUAUAGAUGAGGUUUGCCUCAAAGUUAUUAAAAUAAGGUUCCCUCUGGAAAGGAGCAAAACACCCAACUUCCAUUGUGCUACAUUAGUUAAAACUAGAGAAAAGAAUCAAAUUUGCCCCUACAAUUAAAAAGGUUUAAUAUUGCCCUCCGUUAUACUAUAGGUCUAUAUAUGCGCUUAAUGUUAUACUAUCGGCC
rnacentral:lncRNA from 1 species